rnacentral:rRNA from 1 species
UAAUACGUAGGGUGCGAGCGUUGUUCGGAAUUACUGGGCGUAAAGGGCGCGCAGGCGGAGGUGCAAGUCGGAGGUGAAAGCCCGGGGCUCAACCCCGGAGGGUCUUCCGAAACUGCAUCUCUAGAGAGGGUCAGGGGCCGGCAGAAUUCCUGGUGUAGAGGUGAAAUUCGUAGAUAUCAGGAGGAAUACCGGUGGCGAAAGCGGCCGGCUGGGGCCACUCUGACGCUGAGGCGCGAAAGCGUGGGGAGCAAACAGGAUUAGAUACCCUGGUAGUCCACGCCGUAAACGAUGAGCACUGGACGUUCGGAGGGUUCGACCCUUCUGGGUGUUUCAGCUAACGCAUUAAGUGCUCCGCCUGGGGAGUACGGUCGCAAGACUA